UGAAGGGAACAAAGUAUUACCCUAUGUUAGUCUAAGAGACAGUUUUAAUUUGAUGGUGUUUGUGGCUUUUCCUAAAUGCUUAUACUAAUUUUGUCCCAAAUUUUUCAUUCACUCAUGACAAUGCACACUUAAUCCUUCUGAUUUUCUAAUCUUCUUGUACCCAGAGGAGUAUUAUUCUUUCAUCCUACCAGUAAUUUGCAAAUGAUGUGGAAAAAAAAACUAAACAGAGAUUCCCACAAUAAACGGACAUUUUGUCUUUUGUCAGGAGGGGGGGGGGUCUCUUAUUCUAUGGGCAAAUGGGCCCACACCAACCAGGACUUUAUAAAUCCUACUAGUAUCUUACUUUAUCCUUCCAUUUUAACAGCAGUGUGCAGUGGUAGCUUAAUGCAAUCGAAACCCUUUUUGCUUUCAGCUGGAACUGCCAUAUGGAAACUUGUUAAAAGAUGUAAUAACUUUCCAUAAAAACUGUCGUGACUAGCACUAUUUAUCUAUUCACACACUUGUACAGCAGUCUUCUGUAAGGAUUUUGCUAGCUGUCCCAAAGCUUGCUGAGAUGGACAUAUGUCAGCUUGGACUGCCAGUGAGAAGUAAUGUGUAAAAGAAAGCUUACAAGGUCAUUACAAGGCACAAAUGGUUGUGGAUUCAGUGAAAUAUGCUUGAAACGGUGGACUCGAGGGACCCCCAGCCUCUGUGCUCUGGAAAAAAGCAGCCAUCCCUGCGGGGUCCUGAUCACGCAUGCAACAGGUAUUUAUGGACAUUGAUGAGAUGCCCGUGAGCCUUCCCUUCUCCAGGCUGCACAGUCCUGCAUAUCUCACUGUUCAUCCCACUUGUAGGGUUCAAGACUCAUGGUUAUAUUUUACAGAAAUGGUGAAGACUCCCAUCAAUAACACUAAUCCCACUAUUUUGCAAUUCUUCCUCUCCUAGAUUCCG